AUUAUCUUUCCAUACCGUGUUUUAUUUCAAAAUGAAGGAAUUUAAAAGAUAUAAUCAUAAUGAACGACAUUAUAAAAGAUAUUUUAACAAUAGAUCACAUGACAGAAACGAUCAUUCACAUAGAGGUGACGAUUACAGAACGAAUAGCAGAUACAAGGGAAUAGCAAAGCACAAUGUCAAAAACACGUACUAUG